AUACGAAGGGCCCGAGCGUUAAGCGGAAUCACUGGGCUUAAAGCGUACGUAGGCGGGCUAAUAAGCAUAUUGUGAAAUCCCACGGCUCAACCGUGGAACUGCAGUGUGAACUGUUAGUCUUGAGGUCGGUAGGGGCUGUCGGAACGAUAGGUGGAGCGGUGAAAUGCGUAGAUAUCUAGAGGAACGCCAGAGGCGAAAGCGGAGCACUGGGCCGAUUCUGACGCUGAGGCCCGAAAGCGUGGGGAGCAAACAGGAUUAGAAACCCCAGUAGUCC
rnacentral:rRNA from 1 species